rnacentral:lncRNA from 1 species
CCUCAGACCCCUUGUGAGACCAUAUGCUGGUGCAGUUGGCCCUGGGUUCCUCCUAAUGCAAGACAAUGCUAGACCUCAUGUGGCUGGAGUGUGUCAGCAGUUCCUGCAAGACGAAGGCAUUGAUGCUAUGGACUGGCCCGCCCGUUCCCCAGACCUGAAUCUAAUUGAGCACAUCUGGGACAUCAUCUCUCGCUCCAUCCACCAAAGUCACAUUGCACCACAGACUGUCCAGGAGUUGGCAGAUGCUUUAGUCCAGGUCUGGG